AAAACAUCUUCUCUUGAUUUUAUUUGAGAUAUGUCCUGCCCAAUGAUUUAUUUAAUGGCCGCGGUAUUUUGACCGUGCAAAGGUAGCAUAAUAAUUAGUCUAUUAAUUGUGGACUGGAAUGAAUGGUUUGACGAAAUAUUAACUGUCUCAUAUUUAUUUAUUGAACUUAAUUUCUUUGUGAAAAAGCUUAGAUUUAAUUGGAGGACGAGAAGACCCUAUAGAUCUUUAGUUAUAUUUUUAUAAUUUAUUUUGGUUUAUUGUUUAUUUAUAUUGAUAUAAUUUUAGUUGGGGUGACUGGGGGAUAAUCAUUAACUCCCUCUUUUUGUGUACAUUUUAUAUGAUAAUUUGACCUUAUUUUAUUGUUAUAAGAUAAAGAUACCUUAGGGAUAACAGCGUAAUCCUUUUUGAGAGUCCUUAUCGACAAGAGGGGUUGCGACCUCGAUGUUGAAUUAAGAAUACUUCUAGGUGAAGAAGCUUAGGUAG
rnacentral:rRNA from 1 species